rnacentral:rRNA from 1 species
UACGUAGGGCGCGAGCGUUGUCCGGAAUUACUGGGCGUAAAGAGCUCGUAGGUGGUUUGUCGCGUUGUCCGUGAAAACUCACAACUCAAUUGUGGGCGUGCGGGCGAUACGGGCAGACUGGAGUACUGCAGGGGAGACUGGAAUUCCUGGUGUAGCGGUGGAAUGCGCAGAUAUCGUAAGGAAGACCAGUGGCGAAGGCGGGUCUCUGGACAGUUCCGUGACGCUGAGGCACGAAGGCCAGGGGAGCAAACAGG